rnacentral:rRNA from 1 species
CAGUGGGGAAUUUUGCGACAAUGGGCGCAAGCCUGAUCCAGCCAUGCCGCGUGCAGGAUGAAGGCCUUCGGGUUGUAAACUGCUUUUGUACGGAACGAAAAGCCUCUCUCUAAUAAAGGGGGGUGAUGACGGUACCGUAAGAAUAAGCACCGGCUAACUACGUGCCAGCAGCCGCGGUAAUACGUAGGGUGCGAGCGUUAAUCGGAAUUACUGGGCGUAAAGCGUGCGCAGGCGGUCUUGCAAGACAGAGGUGAAAUCCCCGGGCUCAACCUGGGAACUGCCUUUGUGACUGCAAGGCUGGAGUGCGGCAGAGGGGGAUGGAAUUCCGCGUGUAGCAGUGAAAUGCGUAGAUAUGCGGAGGAACACCGAUGGCGAAGGCAAUCCCCUGGGCCUGCACUGACGCUCAUGCACGAAAGCGUGGGGAGCAAACAGGAUUAGAUACCCUGGUAGUCCACGCCCUAAACGAUGUCAACUGGUUGUUGGGGAUUAACUUUCUCAGUAACGAAGCUAACGCGUGAAGUUGACCGCCUGGGGAGUACGGCCGCAAGGUUAAAACUC